rfam:Oryza glaberrima chromosome 6 Oglab06_0012_2, whole genome shotgun sequence.
AAUAUAUGCCGUCGUUGAUUUUUUUGUCCAACGUUUGAUCAUUUCUUUUAUUCAAAAAAUUUAUGUAAUUAUCAUUUAUUUUAUUAUAACUUGAUUCGUCAUCAAAUGUUCUUUAAACAUGAGAUAAAUAUUUUUAUAUUUGCACAAAAAUUUUGAAUAAAAUGAAUGGUCAAACGUUGGUCAAAAAAGUUAACAGUGUCGUAUAUU